rnacentral:rRNA from 1 species
CCUACGGGCGGCAGCAGUGGGGAAUAUUGGGCAAUGGGCGCAAGCCUGACCCAGCAAUGCCGCGUGAAGGAAGAAGGCUUUCGGGUUGUAAACUUCUUUGACAGGGGAAGAGCAGAAGACGGUACCCUGAAAACAAGCCACGGCUACCUACGUGCACGCAGCCGCGGUAAUACGUAGGUGGCAAGCGUUGUCCGGAUUUACUGGGUGUAAAGGGCGUGUAGCCGGGAAGGCAAGUCAGAUGUGAAAUCUGGAGGCUCAACCUCCAAAUUGCAUUUGAAACUGUUUUUCUUGAGUACUGGAGAGGCAGACGGAAUGCCUUGUGUAGCGGUGAAAUGCGUAGAUAUAAGGAGGAACACCAGUGGCGAAGGCGGUCUGCUGGACAGCAACUGACGGUGAGGCGCGAAAGCGUGGGGAGCAAACAGGAUUAGAUACCCGAGUAGUC